rnacentral:rRNA from 1 species
AGUGAACGCUGGCGGUAGGCCUAACACAUGCAAGUCGAACGGCAGCACAGUAAGAGCUUGCUCUUACGGGUGGCGAGUGGCGGACGGGUGAGGAAUACAUCGGAAUCUACUUUUUCGUGGGGGAUAACGUAGGGAAACUUACGCUAAUACCGCAUACGACCUACGGGUGAAAGCAGGGGAUCUUCGGACCUUGCGCGAUUGAAUGAGCCGAUGUCGGAUUAGCUAGUUGGCGGGGUAAAGGCCCACCAAGGCGACGAUCCGUAGCUGGUCUGAGAGGAUGAUCAGACAGACUGGAACUGAGACACGGUCCAGAGUCCUACGGGAGGAAGCAGUGGGGAAUAUUGGACAAUGGGCGCAAGCAUGAUACAGCCAUACCGCGUGGGUGAAGAAGGCCUUCGGGUUGUAAAGCCCUUUUGUUGGGAAAGAAAAGCAGCAGGUUAAUACCCCGCUGUUCUGACGGUACCAAAAGAAUAAGCACCGGCUAACUUCGUG